rfam:Parcubacteria (Nomurabacteria) bacterium GW2011_GWA1_46_11 TX31_C0005, whole genome shotgun sequence.
AAAGAGGCCCAUAAGGGCGCACGGUGAAUGCCUAGGCAUGAAACGAAUGGGGAAACCCGUCAGAGUAAACCUCUGUCAUUCCGGCACAUAAGUGGUCGGAGAGCAUACCCAGCGAAGUAAAACAUUCUAGUAGCUGGAGGAAAAGAGAAAGAAUUUCAUUCCCCAAGUAGCGGCGAGCGAAAAGGGAGAAGCCCAAACCAGAGACCUUAUUAAGUUUGAGGAUCCCUGGGGUUGUAAGAUAAGAACUUCUUCGUUUUUGAGUGAUGAUUCCAACUUAGGUUCAUCACUCAGAUACGGAGGGAGAGUCAGAAAUCCAUUUGUUAGCAGAAUCUUCUGGAAAGGAGAACCGCAGAGGGUGACAGUCCUGUAUGCGAAAACGAAUGGACUCUCUGUUUUUAAUCUUGAGUACCUCAAGGCAAGACAGCAUUGAGGGAAACAUCCCGUACUACCGGGAAAGGCUAAAUAUGUUUCGUGACCGAUAGUGAACAAGUACCGUGAGGGAAAGGUGAAAAGUAGUCCGUAGAGGACGGUGAAAUAGACCUGAAACCGUGUGCUUACAAAGAGUCGGAGC